rnacentral:rRNA from 1 species
UACAGAGGUCCCAAGCGUUGUUCGGAUUCACUGGGCGUAAAGGGUGCGCAGGUGGGUUGGCAAGUUCGAUGUGAAAGCCCCGGGCUUAACCCGGGAAUGGCAUUGGAAACUGCUGAUCUGGAGGAUCGGAGGGGGGACUGGAAGUUCUUGGUGUAGCAGUGAAAUGCGUAGAUAUCAAGAGGAACACCAGUGGCGAAGGCGAGUCCCUGGACGAUACCUGACACUGAGGCACGAAAGCCAAGGGAGCAAACAGG